GUCGAGAAUCUUUCACAAUGGGGGCAACCCUGAUGGAGCGACGCCGCGUGGAGGAUAAGGUCUUCGGAUUGUAAACUCCUGUCAUGCGUGAACAAGGUUGCUUGGUUAAUACCUGGGCAAAUUGAUGGUAACGCAAGAGGAAGAGACGGCUAACUCUGUGCCAGCAGCCGCGGUAAUACAGAGGUCUCAAGCGUUGUUCGGAAUCACUUGGCGUAAAGGGUGCGUAGGUGGCGUGGUAAGUCAGAUGGGAAAGCCCGGGGCUCAACCUCGGAACUGCAUACGAUACUGCAAUGUUAGAGUACUGGAGAGGUGACUAGAAUUCUCGGUGUAGCAGUGAAAUGCGUAGAUAUCGAGAGGAAUACCAAAGGCGUAGGCAGGUCACUGGACAGUUACUGACACUGAGGCACGAAGGCCAGGGGAGCGAACGGGAUUAGAAACCCCUGUAGUCC
rnacentral:rRNA from 1 species